rnacentral:rRNA from 1 species
GUGCCAGCAGCCGCGGUAAUACGUAGGGCGCGAGCGUUGUCCGGAAUUAUUGGGCGUAAAGAGCUCGUAGGCGGCUUGUCGCGUCGGUUGUGAAAGCCCGGGGCUUAACCCCGGGUCUGCAGUCGAUACGGGCAGGCUAGAGUUCGGUAGGGGAGAUCGGAAUUCCUGGUGUAGCGGUGAAAUGCGCAGAUAUCAGGAGGAACACCGGUGGCGAAGGCGGAUCUCUGGGCCGAUACUGACGCUGAGGAGCGAAAGCGUGGGGAGCGAACAGGAUUAGAUACCCUGGUAGUCCACGCCGUAAACGGUGGGCACUAGGUGUGGGCGACAUUCCACGUCGUCCGUGCCGCAGCUAACGCAUUAAGUGCCCCGCCUGGGGAGUACGGCCGCAAGGCUAAAACUCAAAGGAAUUGACGGGA